CCUACGGGCGGCUGCAGUGAGGAAUAUUGGUCAAUGGGCUUACGCCUGAACCAGCCAAGUCGCGUGAGGGAAGACUGCCCUAUGGGUUGUAAACCUCUUUUGUCAGGGAGCAAUUGGCGCUACGUGUAGCGUUAUCGAGAGUACCUGAAGAAAAAGCAUCGGCUAACUCCGUGCCAGCAGCAGCGGUAAUACGGAGGAUGCGAGAGUUAUCCGGCUUUGUUGGGUUAAAAGGGUGCGUAGGCGGAAUGCCAAGUCAGCGGUAAACUCGAGGGGCUCAACCUCGCUCCGCCGUUGAAACUGGCGUUCUGGAGUGGGCGAGAAGUAUGCGGAAUGCGUGGUGUAGCGGUGAAAUGCAUAGAUAUCACGCAGAACUCCGAUUGCGAAGGCAGCAUACCGGCGCCCAACUGACGCUGAAGCACGAAAGCGUGGGUAUCGAACAGGAUUAGAUACCCUAGUAGUC
rnacentral:rRNA from 1 species